rnacentral:rRNA from 1 species
GACGAACGCUGGCGGCGUGCCUAACACAUGCAAGUCGAACGAGAAUCUUUGAACAGAUCUUUUCGGAGUGACGUUCAAAGAGGAAAGUGGCGGACGGGCGAGUAACGCGUGAGUAACCUGCCCAUAAGAGGGGGAUAAUCCAUGGAAACGUGGACUAAUACCGCAUAUUGUAGUUAAGUUGCAUGACUUGAUUAUGAAAGAUUUAUCGCUUAUGGAUGGACUCGCGUCAGAUUAGAUAGUUGGUGAGGUAACGGCUCACCAAGUCAACGAUCUGUAGCCGAACUGAGAGGUUGAUCGGCCGCAUUGGGACUGAGACACGGCCCAGACUCCUACGGGAGGCAGCAGUGGGGAAUAUUGCGCAAUGGGGGCAACCCUGACGCAGCAACGCCGCGUGCAGGAAGAAGGUCUUCGGAUUGUAAACUGUUGUCGCAAGGGAAGAAGACAGUGACGGUAC